AAGAUGAUAGUUAAGUAUAACAGUUAGUUCGCAACUAAAAAGUAUUGUGUAUUCAAUUUUUCUUA
rnacentral:tRNA from 1 species